GCUACCAUGCAGUCGAACGAUGAAGCCCUUCGGGGUGGAUUAGUGGCGAACGGGUGAGUAACACGUGGGCAAUCUGCCCUUCACUCUGGGACAAGCCCUGGAAACGGGGUCUAAUACCGGAUAACACUCUGUCCCGCAUGGGACGGGGUUGAAAGCUCCGGCGGUGAAGGAUGAGCCCGCGGCCUAUCAGCUUGUUGGUGGGGUAAUGGCCUACCAAGGCGACGACGGGUAGCCGGCCUGAGAGGGCGACCGGCCACACUGGGACUGAGACACGGCCCAGACUCCUACGGGAGGCAGCAGUGGGGAAUAUUGCACAAUGGGCGAAAGCCUGAUGCAGCGACGCCGCGUGAGGGAUGACGGCCUUCGGGUUGUAAACCUCUUUCAGCAGGGAAGAAGCGAAAGUGACGGUACCUGCAGAAGAAGCGCCGGCUAACUACGUGCCAGCAGCCGCGGUAAUACGUAGGGCGCAAGCGUUGUCCGGAAUUAUUGGGCGUAAAGAGCUCGUAGGCGGCUUGUCACGUCGGAUGUGAAAGCCCGGGGCUUAACCCCGGGUCUGCAUUCGAUACGGGCUAGCUAGAGUGUGGUAGGGGAGAUCGGAAUUCCUGGUGUAGCGGUGAAAUGCGCAGAUAUCAGGAGGAACACCGGUGGCGAAGGCGGAUCUCUGGGCCAUUACUGACGCUGAGGAGCGAAAGCGUGGGGAGCGAACAGGAUUAGAUACCCUGGUAGUCCACGCCGUAAACGUUGGGAACUAGGUGUUGGCGACAUUCCACGUCGUCGGUGCCGCAGCUAACGCAUUAAG
rnacentral:rRNA from 1 species